CGGUUCAUAAUAACGUUUCAGGACCCGGGGGCGGUACCCGGCGCCUCCACCAGAAACAUCCUGACCGGUGGUUUUCACGGGGCAGCGCAGACGGCCCUCAUCGGGCGCCGAUUGCGGUCAGGGUGUUUCUGCUGGGGGCGAAGUUAGGUUCGACUGGACGGUAAAGGGACCG
rnacentral:tmRNA from 1 species